rnacentral:rRNA from 1 species
GACGAACGCUGUUUGCGUGCUUAACACAUGCAAGUCGAACGGAAAGGCCCUGCUUUUGUGGGGUGCUCGAGUGGCGAACGGGUGAGUAACACGUGAGUAACCUGCCCUUGACUUUGGGAUAACUUCAGGAAACUGGGGCUAAUACCGGAUAGGAGCUCCUGCUGCAUGGUGGGGGUUGGAAAGUUUCGGCGGUUGGGGAUGGACUCGCGGCUUAUCAGCUUGUUGGUGGGGUAGUGGCUUACCAAGGCUUUGACGGGUAGCCGGCCUGAGAGGGUGACCGGCCACAUUGGGACUGAGAUACGGCCCAGACUCCUACGGGAGGCAGCAGUGGGGAAUAUUGCACAAUGGGCGGAAGCCUGAUGCAGCAACGCCGCGUGCGGGAUGACGGCCUUCGGGUUGUAAACCGCUUUCGCCUGUGACGAAGCGUGAGUGACGGUAAUGGGUAAAGAAGCACCGGCUAACUACGUGCCAGCAGCCGCGGUGAUACGUAGGGUGCGAGCGUUGUCCGGAUUUAUUGGGCGUAAAGGGCUCGUAGGUGGUUGAUCGCGUCGGAAGUGUAAUCUUGGGGCUUAACCCUGAGCGUGCUUUCGAUACGGGUUGACUUGGGGAAGGUAGGGGAGAAUGGAAUUCCUGGUGGAGCGGUGGAAUGCGCAGAUAUCAGGAGGAACACCAGUGGCGAAGGCGGUUCUCUGGGCCUUUCCUGACGCUGAGGAGCGAAAGCGUGGGGAGCGAACAGGCUUAGAUACCCUGGUAGUCCACGCUGUAAACGGUGGGUACUAGGUGUGGGGUCCAUUCCACGGGUUCCGUGCCGUAGCUAACGCUUUAAGUACCCCGCCUGGGGAGUACGGCCGCAAGGCUAAAACUCAAAGGAAUUGACGGGGCCCCGCACAAGCGGCGGAGCAUGCGGAUUAAUUCGAUGCAACGCGUAGAACCUUACCUGGGUUUGACAUGGAUCGGGAGUGCUCAGAGAUGGGUGUGCCUCUUUUGGGGUCGGUUCACAGGUGGUGCAUGGCUGUCGUCAGCUCGUGUCGUGAGAUGUCGGGUUAAGUCCCGCAACGAGCGCAACCCUUGUUCACUGUUGCCAGCACGUUAUGGUGGGGACUCAGUGGAGACCGCCGGGGUCAACUCGGAGGAAGGUGGGGAUGACGUCAAGUCAUCAUGCCCCUUAUGUCCAGGGCUUCACGCAUGCUACAAUGGCUGGUACAGAGAGUGGCGAGCCUGUGAGGGUGAGCGAAUCUCGGAAAGCCGGUCUCAGUUCGGAUUGGGGUCUGCAACUCGACCUCAUGAAGUCGGAGUCGCUAGUAAUCGCAGAUCAGCAACGCUGCGGUGAAUACGUUCCCGGGGCU